GACUACCAGAAAGGUCUGGAAAGGUUUUGCUUUCCUGCCGUAGGUGCUGGCCCUUGGUCCUACUUGCAUGGGGUGGGAAUACUGGAGUCAAGGCGGCCACGCUUCCGCCAUGACGUCCCUGAGGAAAUGAGCCCACAACUACCAGCAACCACCCUCUUCCAGACUUCAUGUUGCUUGAGAAGAAGAUCAGCCACAAUUUUGCUGAUGCCACUGGUUAAUCUGCUUUCCUGUUGCUCACAAAUGAUCAAAAUCCUUGGUACAAGGAUUCAAAGAUGAACGAAAAAUUGCUGGUCUCAGGGAACUCCUAGAGGAGAAACUUUCUAAAUCAGUGAAGGCAGCCCCAGGGAACAAGUGCUACCCGAGGGCUACGUCGAGGGCCCACUGGUGGCAGGUGUCUUGCACUGAGCUUAUCACGUGGGUAGCUACAACGACGCUGUUGUCUUCUCCUCUAAAACUUUGGGACCCACGCCUGACACAUCUACAAGUGGCAACACCUGAGACAUCAAAACAUGGAAAAACCAUGCUUUUCAGCUGCUCGGAUUUGUUCCACAGGCUGUUGGCAAGCAACAGCCUGAGCUAGAGGGUAGGUCACCCUGAACAGGAACAGGGCAGAGAGCCACGGGCAGCCCCAGCCAAGGACAAGGAUGCUGCACCCUGACCCCAGUGCCCCUCCUCCUGCCCAGCCGGCAGGUGUGGAAGGAGGAGGCUGGCUCCUGAGCCCAACCUAGGGAAGCGGGGGGAAGCUCUCCGGCAGAUCGAAGAUGGAAGGUGUAAAGACUUGGAUAGAUUUCUUACCACUUGAGAGAACUGUGGGAAAUAUGAUUAUUUUUAAAGCUGAAGGAGACCAGAAAGCGAUGGGACCUGCAGGAAUUUCAUCAAAGAAGCAGGAAGAUCACAAGAACCAUAGUUAAGCCCUUUCCUGAACUCUUACUUAUCUUACUGCACUCAGUCUAUUCAAAACAAUGGUUGCAAAUA